GAAGAAACAGAGUUCGGAGGAACUCUCUCAAUCCAUUUUCAUGGCGGUAGCUACUUUCUUUCCUUCUCAAACUUCAUACAACAAUCGCCAUUUGCUUUCUCGUGACAUUAGAUUUCGGUCUCCUCUUCGUUUGUCCACUCGUCGUUCUUUCUUCUCUACUAUUCGGGCGAGCUCGACGCUCGUUCUUGAGUCGGAUUUAGGCAUUCAACAGGAUCAGAAUUCGAAAAUUGACGUGUUUUC
rnacentral:misc_RNA from 1 species